rnacentral:rRNA from 2 species
AGUUAAGAUACUCAGGGCAGAUAGUGGAUGCCUUGGCGACGGACGGCGAUGAAGGACGUAGUAAGCUGCGAUAAGCUUCGGGAAGCCGCUAAACAGGCUGUGAUCCGGAGAUCUCCGAAUAGGAAAACCCAGCCGAGCAAAUCUCGGCUAUGGUAGAGUGAACACAUAGCUCUAUCAAGCGAACGGGGGGAAGUGAAACAUCUCAGUACCCCUAGGAAAAGAAAUCAACCGAGAUUCCCUUAGUAGCGGCGAGCGAACGGGGAAGAGCCUAAACCCUAAUUGUGUCAAGCUUGCGGGCGUUGCAUUUAGGGUGUCGUGGGAUGCAAUUUGAGGUCGCCGCAAAUUCCUCAGGAAGUUACAAAACAUUAUGUUAGUUGAAGUAUCUGGAAAGUUACACCAUAGGGGGUGAUAGUCCCGUAAACGAAAACAUAAUGUCUUCCGUAUUGUAUUCCCGAGUACCCCGGACCACGNNAGUACCGUGAGGGAAAGGUGAAAAGAACCCCGGUGAGGGGAGUGAAAUAGAACCUGAAACUGUCUGCCUGCAAUCAGUGGAAGGGCUAUAUCUUCUUCGGAAGACAUGCCUGACCGCGUACCUUUUGCAUAAUGGGCCAGCGAGUUAUCUUCAGUGGCAAGGUUAAGCCGAUUAGGUGGAGCCGUAGCGAAAGCGAGUCUGAAUAGGGCGCAUAGUCGCUGGUGAUAGACCCGAAGCGAGUCGAUCUAUCCAUGACCAGGGUGAAGCAGAGAGAAAACCUCCGUGGAGGCCCGAACCGGUUAGGGUUGAAAACCUAUCGGAUGAGUUGUGGAUCGGAGUGAAAGGCUAAUCAAGACUCGUGAUAGCUGGUUCUCCCCGAAAUAUAUUUAGGUAUAGCCUCAUGUGAUGGCGUGUGGAGGUAGAGCACUGAAUGGACUAGGGGGUCGAAAGAUCUACCAAACCCAAUCAAACUCCGAAUGCCACAUUGCUUANNCCCAGAUCGUCAGCUAAGGCCCCUAAAUCCGGGCUAAGUGGGAAAGGAUGUGAAGUCGCAUUGACAGCCAGGAGGUAGGCCCAGAAGCAGCCACCCUUUAAAGAGUGCGUAACAGCCCACUGGUCGAUGCGGCUUCGCGCCGAAAAUGUAACGGGGCUCAAGCCCGGUGCCGAAGCUACGAGUUGUAUUUAUACAGCGGUAGGGGAGCGUUCUCAACGGGCUGAAGGAUUACCGUAAGGAGGUCUGGACUGUUGAGAAGUGAGAAUGCUGGCAUGAGUAGCGAUAAAGAUGGUGAGAAUCCAUCUCGCCGUAAACCUAAGGUUUCCUGGGGAAGGCUCGUCCUCCCAGGGUAAGUCGGGUCCUAAGGCGAGGCCGAAAGGCGUAGUCGAUGGAAAACAGGUUAAUAUUCCUGUACCACUCAAUUGGAGCGAAGUGGUGACGAAGAAGGGUAGAUCAGCCGGGUGAUGGAUUACCUGGUUCAAGCUUGUAGGGGGAAGAGAUAGGCAAAUCCGUUUCUUCUUAACCCCGAGAAGUGAGUACGAGGGGCAAUUCUGCCCCAUAAAGUGAUUGAUCCCAUGCUUCCAAGAAAAGCCUCGUAGUGUUGAUGAUUGAGUGCCCGUACCGUAAACGGACACACGUAGGUGAGUUGAGUAUACUAAGGCGCGUGAGAGAACUUUGGCUAAGGAACUCGGCAAAAUGGCCCCGUAACUUCGGAAUAAGGGGUGCCCACAUUAGGUGAAAGCCCUGCGGCUGGAGCUGAGGUGGGUCACAGCAAAGAGGCGGUGGCGACUGUUUACCAAAAACACAGGGCUCUGCAAAGGCGUAAGCCGACGUAUAGGGUCUGACACCUGCCCGGUGCCGGACGGUUAAAGGAAAGUGUUAUCCUUCGGGAGAAGCUCUGAACUGAAGCCCCGGUAAACGGCGGCCGUAACUAUAACGGUCCUAAGGUAGNNCUUGUCGGGUAAGUUCCGACCUGCAUGAAAGGUGUAACGAUUGCCGCGCUGUCUCGGCCAAAGACUCAGCGAAAUUGUGGUUCCGGUGAAGACGCCGGAUACCCGCUACGGGACGGAAAGACCCCGUGCACCUUUACUAUAACUUAGCACUGAGUUUUGGUGCUGCAUGCGUAGGAUAGGUGGGAGCCUAUGAAACUUUGCUUCCGGGCAGAGUGGAGGCAUCCGUGAAAUACCACCCUUGUAGUAUUAGAAUUCUAACUGCGGCCCGUUAUCCGGGUCCAGGACAAUGUUAGGCGGGUAGUUUGACUGGGGCGGUCGCCUCCUAAAGAGUAACGGAGGCGU